UUACUUACCUGGAUGCGGUCAAUGGGCGAUCAAUAAGGCUCAUGGCCUAGGUCAGUGACCUCCAUUGCACUAAGGCUCAUGGCCUAGGUCAGUGACCUCCAUUGCACUGAGGAGGGGCCCAUUGAUUGUUAACUAUAAGUUACUUUAGACUUUAGGGCUUUGUACAAAAUAUUUUUACGAG
rnacentral:snRNA from 1 species